CGAGUGAAGCGGGAAAAAGCUCAAAUUUAAAAUCUGGCGGUCUUUGGCCGUCCGAGUUGUAGUCUGGAGAAGCGUCUUCCGCGCUGGACCGUGUACAAGUCUCUUGGAACAGAGCGUCAUAGAGGGUGAGAAUCCCGUCUUUGACACGGACUACCAGUGCUUUGUGAUGCGCUCUCAAAGAGUCGCGUUGUUUGGGAAUGCAGCGCAAAAUGGGAGGUGAAUUCCUUCUAAAGCUAAAUAUUGGCGAGAGACCGAUAGCGAACAAGUACCGUGAGGGAAAGAUGAAAAGCACUUUGGAAAGAGAGUUAAACAGUACGUGAAAUUGCUGAAAGGGAAACGCUUGAAGUCAGUCGCGUCGUCCGGAACUCAGCCUUGCUUCGGCUUGGUGCACUUUCCGGUUGACGGGCCAGCAUCGAUUUUGACCGCUGGAAAAGGGCUGGAGGAAUGUGGCACCUUCGGGUGUGUUAUAGCCUUCAGUCGCAUACAGCGGUUGGGAUCGAGGAACGCAGCGCGCCUUAUGGCUGGGGUUCGCCCACAUUCGCGCUUAGGAUGCUGGCAUAAUGGCUUUAAACGACCCGUCUUGAAACACGGACCAAGGAGUCUAACAUGCCUGCGAGUGUUUGGGUGGAAAACCCGAGCGCGUAAUGAAAGUGAAAGUUGAGACCUCUGUCGUGGAGGGCAUCGACGCCCGGACCUGAAGUUUUCUGACGGAUCCGCGGUAGAGCAUGUAUGUUGGGACCCGAAAGAUGGUGAACUAUGCCUGAAUAGGGUGAAGCCAGAGGAAACUCUGGUGGAGGCUCGUAGCGAUUCUGACGUGCAAAUCGAUCG
rnacentral:rRNA from 1 species